UAGAACUUACCAACGACAGCGUGGAAGGGGAGAGGAACAUCAAAGUCCCAGAAAGUUCGAGUGAGGAGAGUAAAGUAGAGUUGAAGCGAAUUCGUUUACCUGCGUUCCUAAUGGCUUCCACCACAGUGUGUACAACAGGACAGACAAGAGAAGAGAACCCUUUAGCUCCAGCACAGGCCUCCGUAGUGUAAGUGAGGCACAGGAGGAACGUAUUCACCAAGACAUUCUGACAAUGGAGCAUCGGUACCAAGGACACUGGGACCCUGCAAUGAUUGGGGGGCUACUGCUAGUUCCUUUUUAGAGAGACGAAGAUGACACUAUACACGGAAAGUACUUUACAUUUUAUGUAAUUUGGUUUGUUAAGAGCUUCUGAAAUUUAGUUUCUGAAGUUUUUAUGUGUUUCUGUAGUUUUAUAAGUAUUCUAUAAAUUCAUAUGAUGAGAAAAUUUCAAUUCUUUAGAGAUUAAUUGAAAUUUUCACUUAUCUUACUUUUUUAGAUAAGCU